AACGAACGCUGGCGGCAGGCUUAACACAUGCAAGUCGUGCGCCACGCAAGGGGAGCGGCCGACGGGUGAGUAACGAGUGGGAAUCUGCCCAUCACUACGGAAUAGCUACGGGAAACUGGGAAUAAUACCGUAUAAGCCCUACGGGGGACAGAUUUAUCGGGGAAUGAUGAGCCCGCGUUGGAGUAGCUAGUUGGUGGGGUAAAAGCAUACCAAGGCGACGAGCCAUAGUUGGUCUGAGAGGAUGAUCAGCCACAUUGGGACUGAGACAUGGCCCAAAAUCCUACGGGAGGCAGCAGGGGGGAAUAUUGGACAAUGGGGGCAACCCUGAUCCAGCCAUGACGCGUGAGUGAUGAAGGCCGUAGGGUUGUAAAGCUCUUUCACCGGGGAAGAUAAUGUCGGGACCCGGAGAAGAAGCCCCGGCUAACUUCGUGCCAGCAGCCGCCGUAA
rnacentral:rRNA from 1 species